UGACACAGGUGCUGCAUGGCUGUCGUCAGCUCGUGUCGUGAGAUGUUGGGUUAAGUCCCGUAACGAGCGCAACCCUUGUCCUUAGUUUACCAGCACGUUAUGGUGGGCACUCUAAGGAGACUGCCGGUGACAAACCGGAGGGAAGGUGGGGAGUGACGUCAAGUCAUCAUGGCCCUUACGGCCUGGGCUACACACGUGCUACAAUGGUCGGUACAAAGGGUUGCCAAGCCGCGAGGUGGAGCUAAUCCCAUAAAACCGAUCGUAGUCCGGAUCGCAGUCUGCAACUCGACUGCGUGAAGUCGGAAUCGCUAGUAAUCGCGGAUCAGCAAGCCGCGGUGAAUACGUUCCCGGGCCUU
rnacentral:rRNA from 1 species